CAUAUGAAAAAAAGUGCGCAACAAACGUUCUCCGUAAGUCUUUGCAAAUAUUUGUUUGCUAAGGAUCAUUUACAUAGAGAUAAGAUGCAUACUGAAGUAUUGUUCUUGCAAAAAAUACGGUAAAUCACCGUUAUACCACAUUUUACCUUUGUCACAUUUUAAAUUUAGUACGUGCUCAAAAAGAUUUUCCAAUGUAUUCUGGAUAUGAACAAGUUAGGAGAAAAAAUCCCCGGCAAACAUCAAAUUUAUUUUCUUUUUUGACAUUUGGUUAUACAAUCUCUCUCUUCAGGAAGGGUUUUAGAGGCAACUUACAAGAAAGUGACAUUUACGAGGUGCCCAAAUUUUGUAGCUCUAAAAGAUGCGGUGAUAAAAUUUCUAGCGACUGGACUUAUUGCUCUACUGUACUGAAAUUACUUUUGAGAUCAUUUGGACGAAAAUAUUUUUUAUACAGCACUAUACAUUUAACAUGGCACUUGCUAAGCAGUACAAUACACCCUUAUGCAAUCAGUCAUUUUAUUUCAUAUUUCCAAACAAAUCAAACGAAAAUUUCAAGAUCAGACGCCUACUAUUACGGAGGAAUUGUUAUAUUUCUGUCUGUGUUUAGGAAUCUAUGGAUAUUUAAUUAUUUUAUGUUGGAAUGCACCCUUGGAAUCCAGAUUAGAGCUUCUCUAUCUUCUCUAAUUUAUAGGAAAGUUAUCUCCCUUCGACCAGAACAAACUAGAGGAUCAAUGGGGAGUGUGGUUACAGUACUGACAAAAGACAUCAGGACUAUUCAGACAGCCAUGUGGCCUUUAAGCGAUCUUUAUGUGGGAAUUAUAAAACUGAUUUUUUUGACCUAUUUAUUGUAUGUAAAGAUUGGUCCGAUAUCGAUUAUACCUAUAGGAUUCAUUCUUGUAAUUAUUAUAUUUCAAGCUAUCUUAAGCUCAAUAGUCUUGAAGUUAAGACUUCAAGUUGGAAAAUUGACUGAUAUGCGUUUACACUUCACAAGGGAAAUAUUAACCAUAUUGAAAAUAAUAAAAAUGUAUACGUGGGAAACUUUUUUUCAUAAAAGGCUUUGUGAAGCACGAAAGAAAGAAACAAAAGCAAACCUAAAAACCUGGUAUUUGGGUAGUUUUAUCAUAGCAUUUGGGACAUUAAUUGGAAAGCUUCUGUUUCCACUUUUCUUGUUGAUGUAUCUGUCGUUGGAUUACUCGAUAAAUACGGAAUUACUUUAUUAUUUAAUGAGUUUAUUUCAGGAGUACUCUGGUAUAAUUGGAUCAUAUAUUUCCGCAGGUUUGGCACUUACUGCUGAGUUUUAUGCAUCUGUUGUACGAAUAGGACGAGUUUUAGAUAUUCAAGAAAAAUCAAGUAACUUACUGGUUGAACGUUAUGUAGCAGUUGAUCAAGAAAAUCAUAUGAACCAAGAAACGCCAAAAAUUGAGCUCGACAAUAUCUCUGUUUCUUUUUCUGAAGAACGGAUUUUGGAUUGUUUAACCAUAUCAAUAAAUAGUCCAGGCUUAUACAUUUUAACUGGCCCCCUGGGAUGUGGAAAAUCUUCUGUACUUAAAGUAAUUCUAGGCGAAUAUCGCGUAAAUUCUGGAACAGCUAACAUAAUAGGAGACAUAUCGUAUGCAUCUCAAGAUCCCUGGAUAUUUCCAGCUACCAUUCGACAAAAUAUUUUGUUUGGUCAAAAGUUUGAUAGUGAUAGAUACGAAGAAGUCCUAGAGGUAUGCUGCUUACAACACGAUAUUAAAUUGCUACCUAAUGGGGACAAUUCAAUAAUCAUAGAUGGAGGAAUGAAUUUGAGCAAAGGUCAACAAGCUAGGAUAAACCUAGCAAGAGCCAUUUACAAAUCGAGCGAUAUUUAUCUUUUGGAUGAUCCGUUGACCUGUCUGGAUGUAAAGGUCCAAAGCGAAAUAUUUUUAAAAUGCUUUAGAAGAUUCCUUAAACGAAAAAUUGUCAUACUGGUUACCCAAAAUUCCAAACACUUCAAGUAUGCCAGCGAAGUAAUUGUAAUGAAACGAGGAGGGAUAAAGUUGGUGUCUAAAUCUGAUGAUGUUGAUCACAUUGAAAGUGUGACACCCUUUGAAGAAGAUAUUAAAGAUGAAAAUUUAGUUAAUUUUGAUAUUAUGCCACAUACAAAUAUAUACCAUGAAGACAAACAAAUUGGCUCUGUAGAAUCUAAAAACUACUACAAAUACAUCAAAUAUGGCGGUGGUAUCUUCACUUUUAUAAUUCUUCUUGCGGUGUUUUUUGGAGCCCAACUCGCAGAGAGUAGUGCUGAUAAGUUACUUUCAAAAUGGGUCGAUUAUCAACAAGUUUUAUUAAACACAACGUUUAGCAACAAAUCAACCAUAACCCAAACAGAAGAACUAAGUUUCCAAAGAGAUAAUACUUUUGAUUUGUACAUUAUAUUGAUCAUCGUAUCAACGAUAAUAGACUUGCUAAAAUCAUACGGAUUCUUGCUUUACUGCAGAAGAGCAUCCAUAAAGCUACACAAAUUGAUGUCGAGUAGCGUUAUUCACUGCCUCAUGACCUUUUUGGAUAGUCAUUUCAUUGGAAACAUUUUAAACAGGUUUUCGUACGAUUUGGACCAAGUAGACGAAGUUUUUCCCUUUCACUUCCAAGAUGUUAUUAUUGCUGCAUUUGCUGUUGCCGGUACUCUAAUAUUAUUAGUGUCAGUUAAUGUGAUAUUCUUGGCCAUAUCUUUGCUGUUUUUUACCACUCUAGGACUUUUAAGGAUGUUCUAUAUUCCUACAGCCAGAGCUCUUAAAAGACUGGAAGCAAUAACUCGGAGUCCAUAUAUUGGCCAUCUUAAUGCCACCGUAGAAGGAUUAUCUACCAUCCGGGCAUUUAAAGCCCAAGAUUUACUUAAAGACGAAUUUGAUAAACAUCAAGAUUUAGCUAUUUCAGUUGGUUACAUGGAAACUACGACCGCUUUAGCAUUCGGUUACGCUCUCAAUUUAACCUGUUCAGUAUUUAUCAGCAUAGUCGUGCUAACUUUUUUGUUUAUCAACCCAGAAACUACAGUAGGAAAUGUUGGCUUAGCACUGACGCAAAUUAUAACAAUGUCAUCUAACUUACAAUGGAUAAUCAGAGCGUGGGCAUUAAUUGAACAAUGCAUGACUUCGGUGGAAAGGGUAGUAGAAUACACCGAUAUAGCUCAAGAAGAAAAAUCCCGGCAAGGAAACCGUUCCAAAUGGCCUAUCAAUGGUCAAAUUAUUUACAAAGAUAUGAAUUUACUCUACGGUGAUGGCAAUAAGGUUUUAAAAGGAAUAAGUUUCACUAUUAAAGCCGGAGAAAAAGUGGGAAUUGUGGGUCGAACUGGAGCAGGAAAGUCGUCUAUCGUGUCCACAUUAUUGAGACUGUAUGAUUAUCAAGGAACUAUCUAUAUUGAUACAUAUGAUAUAAGUAAAAUGCCUCUGAGUUUACUUAGAAGUAAGAUAUCGGUCAUUCCGCAGGAUCCUAUAAUUUUUGCUGGUACUGUACGUCAGAAUAUUGACCCAUUUGAAACACAUCUAGACAAAGACCUAUGGAGAGUUAUAAAGAACGUACAGCUUGAAUACAUAAUUGUAAAUCUGGAUGAAAAUAUUUACGAUUUAAAGCUGAGUAUUGGCCAAAAACAACUUUUGUGCUUGGCACGGGCUUUACUCAGAAAUAACAAAAUCGUUGUUAUGGAUGAACCGACAGCUAAUCUGGAUAACGAAACCGAUAGGCUGGUGCAUAACUUAAUUAGUAAAUACUUUAGCGAGUGUACUUUAAUAAUGAUAGCUCAUAGGUUACAUUCUGCGCUCGGCUGCAAUAAAGUCAUUGUAAUGGAAAAUGGCGAGAUUGCGGAGUUUGAUGAGCCGAAGAAGUUAAUGGAAAAUAAGGAAAGUCUUUUUCAUAAUAUGAUGAAAAUUAUUGAUUAAAAUGUUAUUAUGGACCUAGUAGUUAUUAGAAUUAUUUAUGCACUUUUUUAUAGUUUAGAGAUGUAAUUAAGAAACUUGAAAGUAAUGGCUCCAAGAUUUGUUAAUGAAAAUCUUUUUAAUUGUAUUCGAUUGAGCAGCACAUCACUUAAAUCUAUCAGAGUAAAAAACUCGUUAAAGUGUGGUCUAGAAAAUUACCUGUUCUUUCCAAAAUGUUGGAGAGUCCAUACACAAGUUUCGCGCUGGUCAUAGCAUAUCAACUGCCUUGGCAAUCUUAUCCUAAAAAUACGGAUUCAUCGAGUUUUGCCUCUAUUUAUGCCCAUGAGGCCACCAUACUGUGGUAUAAUAUUGACCUGUAAAACAGGGUGAAAAUUCAUCACUGUAUAUUACAUAUUCUCUGUAUAAAUAAAUGUUGGUUCGACUCUAA
rnacentral:misc_RNA from 1 species